rnacentral:rRNA from 1 species
UACGGAGGGUGCAAGCGUUAAUCGGAAUUACUGGGCGUAAAGCGUACGUAGGCGGCUUGUUAAGCAAGAUGUGAAAUCCCCGGGCUCAACCUGGGAAUGGCAUUUUGAACUGGCAGGCUCGAGUUCUGAAGAGGGUGGUAGAAUUUCCAGUGUAGCGGUGAAAUGCGUAGAUAUUGGAAGGAAUACCGGUGGCGAAGGCGGCCACCUGGUCAGAAACUGACGCUGAGGAGCGAAAGCUAGGGGAGCAAACGGG